GUGCUCACCUCCACAGCACAUUACUAAAUUGGAAGGAUACAGAGAAGAUUAGCAUGGACCCUGUGAAAGGAUGCCAUGCAAAUUCACUAAGUAUUCUAUACUAUU